rnacentral:misc_RNA from 1 species
CAGAGUACCUGCCCCCUGGGUAGAUCUCCACCCUUGCCUAAAUACCCUUGUUGCUUUGGCGGUCCGUCUCUCGAGCCACCGGCGUCUCGCUGGUGUGUGACCGCCAGAGAAUCAUCAAACUCAUGGUACAUACGUCGUCUGAGUACUAUUUUAAUAGUUA